CGGGACGACGCUGGCGGCGUGCUUAACACAUGCAAGUCGAACGGUGACGAGGAGCUUGCUCCUCUGAUCAGUGGCGAACGGGUGAGUAACACGUGAGCAACCUGCCCCAGACUCUGGGAUAACAGUUGGAAACAGCUGCUAAUACCGGAUACGAGACGGAGAGGCAUCUCUACCGUCUGGAAAGUUUUUCGGUCUGGGAUGGACUCGCGGCCUAUCAGCUAGUUGGUGAGGUAAUGGCUCACCAAGGCGACGACGGGUAGCCGGCCUGAGAGGGCGACCGGCCACACUGGGACUGAGACACGGCCCAGACUCCUACGGGAGGCAGCAGUGGGGAAUAUUGCACAAUGGGCGAAAGCCUGAUGCAGCGACGCCGCGUGAGGGAUGACGGCCUUCGGGUUGUAAACCUCUUUCAGCAGGGAAGAAGCGAAAGUGACGGUACCUGCAGAAGAAGCACCGGCUAACUACGUG
rnacentral:rRNA from 1 species